CGACCUUACUUGAACAGGAUCUGUUCUAUAGGCUCGUACCUCUGUAUUCUUGAUUCCUAAGAAGACAGAAACCCAUGUCUGGUUGAUGAAUGAAAACCGUGUGACUAGAGCGUGAUUAACGGAGCUUCAUGGUCUUGACCAUGGCUCGGUAGAGGAUCGUUGUCAG
rnacentral:sRNA from 1 species